rnacentral:misc_RNA from 1 species
UGAUAGCCGGCAGAUCCCGGAAGCCUAGAUCAGUGUUCCGCGCUCUUCCAAGCCUUCUGCACGAUAUUGGAUAGUCCUAAUAAUAGAACCUGGACUAAAGUUAACGAAUUAAAUCAAUCAAGUUUUCUUUGUAACUUUUAUUCAAUAUUGUGAGUUGUGUACCACAGCAAAAAUGAUUGACCCAGAAGCUUUCUUGGACCUAGCCAACCAGGUCACCAAAUUAAAAAUGUGGCCUUAUUUUGAUAUUGCCCAUUGUGUCAUGUGCUGUUUGGCUGUUCGAGAAGAUUUGGGAAGUGGUUCCAUCCCAUUCUCGCGGAAACAUCCCAUAGCUUGUUGGUUAUCAACUAUGAUGGUAGUUUUUGCUGGAGGAUUUUUAGCUGCUCUUUUCCUUGGUGAGCCUCUUUUGGAACCCUUCAGGAACACUCAGUCAGUCCUAUUGGCUACCGCAGUUUGGUAUGCGAUGUUCUACUCUCCAUUUGACGUUAUCUACAAAUUGUCAAAGUUUCUCCCUAUCAAAAUUGUGAUUGCAGCCAUGAAAGAAGUGUACAGAUGUAAGAAAGUAUAUGAUGGGGUAAACCAUGCAGCGAAAUUGUUCCCCAAUGCUUGGAUGAUUUUGUUCAUAACCGGUUUGGUUAAAGGAAAUGGCGCUGGUUUUAUUAAAAUUUUGGAACGUCUAAUCCGUGGUGUGUGGACUCCAACUGCGUUCGAAUUUUUACAGCCAAGUUUCCCAACCAAGGCGUGUAUAGUAGCCUCAAUAAUCUUUGUUCUGGACAAGAAAACGGAAUUGAUCUCGGCCCCUCAUGCCUUAGUCUACUUCGGAAUCGUUAUUUUCUUCGUUUACUUCAAGUUGUCGUCACUUUUGCUUGGAAUUCACGAUCCUUUCAUUCCCUUCGAGAAUCUGUGUUGCGCAGUGUUUUUCGGUGGUAUAUGGGAUUCGAUGCAACGUGCCGUAACUGGCGGGAACAAAAAUGCUGAAUCGACUGCGAAGAAUGAAGUCAGAGCUAGUAAGACUGAAGACGGCCAAACGCAUGCCCAUAAGAAGAACGAUUAAUGUAGCUACUUUAGUUGUAUUCCACUCAAACUGUUAGUUCACAAUUCGUGCUAUUAGAAAACUGAAUUAAUUUUUAGAUUGAACAAUCCAGUCUAGUGCCUUAGUGUAGGGACAACGGCAUGAAAAGAUUCCCAGUAUCGUCAGCAUGGUAGAUUUUUGUUCUUUUGCUAUUUUGUAUAUUGGUGGGAGAGGUAGUCAUCAACGAGAAACCUCUUCAAUUUCAAUUUUUCUAGAUGACUUUUGCAUGAAUGGAUUCGAAUUUUUAUGAGCAAUUGCCCCGUUAAAGGCUUUCUUACCAAACUAAAUUCAUGUGUAUGGUCGCAUUAUCUUGAAAUUUGUCCAAUUUGAAAGCAUCUUUCUGCAAGCACGGCGUUGGGUUAAAUACUUGCAUUUCUGACGCCUAACUGCCGUCCCGCACUGACAAGGAGCAUUUCGAGUUGCGAAACCGUCUUCACUGCCUGUAGUGUUGGUUUUCCCCCUCUUCACUUCAAUCUGUUAUGCCAGAUUUAUUGGACUGACCUGCUCUCUUUAUCAUAAAUUUUUUUUACACAUAUUUUCGCACCAAUUUCUUUGUGCACUUUGAACUUUUUCUUUAUUAUUUUUCUUUAUUUGUUCAUUUUUAAUUUCUUUUCUAUGCAUGAUCAAUAGCAAUAUGCCUCCUUUAGUCUUGGAAUUGUUUACCGUCUGAAUUACGGUAUUUCAUUGAUGAACUUUACCGCAAGAUAAUUGGUUACUGUACCAUAGCGAUACUUGAUACCUGUAAAAGUGUGAAUUAAACCUUGCUCCAAUAUACUUCCGUAUAUAAAAA